GACGAACGCUGGCGGCGUGCUUAACACAUGCAAGUCGAACGGAAAGGCCCCGCUUUUGUGGGGUGCUCGAUUGGCGAACGGGUGAGUAACACGUGAGUAACCUGCCCUUGACUUUGGGAUAAAUUCAGGAAACUGGGGCUAAUACCGGAUAGGAUCUCCUGAUGCAUGUGGUGGGAUGGAAAGUUUCGGCGUUUGGGGAUGGACUCGCGGCGUAUCAGCUAGUUGGUAAGGUAGUGGCUUACCAAGGCUUUGACGGGUAGCCGGCCUGAGAGAGUGACAGGCGACACUGGAACUGAGACACGGUCCAGAGUCCUACGGGAGGCAGCAGUAGGGAAUCGUCGGCAAUGGGCGGAGGCCUGACGGAGCAACGCGGCGUGAGUGAUGAAGGUGUUCGGAUCGUAAAACUCGGUUAUUAGGGAAGAACAGAUGUGUAAGUAACUGUGCACAUCUUGACGGUACCUAAUCAGAAAGCCACGGCUAACUACGUG
rnacentral:rRNA from 1 species